rnacentral:snoRNA from 1 species
AGCCUCAUUCCAUAUGAGAACAGGCACAGUUGAUCACGGUGCCCGGAAUUGCUAAUGUGGCUAAACUGAGACUCAGGUUAUGAUUCCAUUACAAUAAAUUUAUUACAGUGGUGACAAUGAGACCUGUAAUAUAU